rnacentral:rRNA from 1 species
CCUACGGGAGGCAGCAGUAGGGAAUCUUCCACAAUGGACGAAAGUCUGAUGGAGCAACGCCGCGUGAGCGAAGAAGGUUUUCGGAUCGUAAAGCUCUGUUGUGAGGGAAGAACAAGUACAGGAGUAACUGUCUGUACCUUGACGGUACCUCAUUAGAAAGCCACGGCUAACUACGUGCCAGCAGCCGCGGUAAU